ensembl:misc_RNA 7SK 7SK RNA
GGAUGUGAGGGCGAUCUGGUUGCACAUCUGUCACCCCAUUGAUCACCAGGGUUGAUUAGGCUAAUCUGGCUGGCUAGGUGGGUGUCCCCUGCCUCCCUCACCAAUCCAUGUGCAUCCCUCCCGAAGAGAGGACCAGUCUUCAGUCAAGGGCAUAUGAGUAGCUGCACUCUCCUGCUAGAACCUCCAAACAAGCUCUCAAAGAAAAAAAUACUACAUCAGAAAAAUAUAGUCACCAUGUUCAUUGCACCAUUAUUUACAAUAGCUAACAAACUAAGUGU